GAAGUGUUUAUAAUGCUGCUGGCUGCUGUAGAUUCUCUGGUGUUUAAUAACCCAUAUCUCGCACCACCACUUUUCUCACUUGUGUUUUUUGCCUGAGAAAACUGAAACUGAACAAUGGCAGCUCUCAGGGAACAUGGAAGGACAGAUGGAGUACCGUUGGCAGCGGGAUGGAGCCUCCUCUCUGCAGCACUGACAGCAAAUCAGCUGAAGAUCAUGGCCUGCACUGAGCAAGGAGUGGGCUCAGAGUCAAGGAGCGCAAUCCCUGGGAAGCUGGCAUAGCAAAAAAUACAAGGGGUCACUCCUUAGUGCUCGCAGCUUAAUCAUUUCAUCCAGGAGACCUCAGAGAAGUCUGCAAUGCUUCCUUUUCCAGGCAGGGACAAUGAUAUCCGGGGCUGCAUUGCAUUCUCUCCCCAAGUGGCCCAUUUGCUCUCUGUGUGACACUGGGCAAAGGAUGUAAAGGACAAGACUUAGCUCUGAGCCUUGACAUCUGUGACUCUUCGUAUAGAUCAGAUAGUUUGGCACAUUAAAAUAAUUACCAGCCCAAUAAAUCUUACCUGCUGUGAAUAUGCAAGACUUUAUCAGAAGAUUCAGAGAAAUAACCAGAUCUUUUCACAGUAUAACACAUGAGACAGCCGUUCUACGCAGCUGGCUUUUUAUAUUUUUAAAGUGUCAGCCUAGAGCAAUAAUUUUGGAAAUAAACAUGAAAUAUCCUUAGCUUCUGUCAGCUUACAGCAGUUUACACUCUGGUAUCAGGCAUUUCUCAAAUGCACUCAGAAAUGCCGACUGUGACACAGUCUCACUUAUUAUAUUUUGCAAAAUCAGAGAUGAUACAUCACAUCUAGAAAAAGAAAGCCCAUCUGUUUGCUGGUUGCUGUAUUCCCUGAACACUGUUGUUAAAGACUAAAUAAAGGCCUCAGGCAUAAAACAACCUACCAAGAACAAAUAUUGAUGGUACUUUUGAAAGUUAAAUGGUGGUACUUUUGCAAAACAAAGCAAACCCAAAAAACUCUCCAAC
rnacentral:lncRNA from 7 species